AGAGUUUGAUCAUGGCUCAGAUUGAACGCUGGCGGCAUGCCUUACACAUGCAAGUCGAACGACGCUAGGGGCAACUCUAGCGAGUGGCGAACGGGUGAGUAAUGCAUCGGAACGUGCCCUCUCGUGGGGGAUAACCAGUCGAAAGAUUGGCUAAUACCGCAUGAGCUCGAGAGAGGAAAGCGGGGGACCGCAAGGCCUCGCGCGAGAGGAGCGGCCGAUGCCCGAUUAGCUAGUUGGUGGGGUAAAGGCCCACCAAGGCGACGAUCGGUAGCUGGUCUGAGAGGACGACCAGCCACACUGGGACUGAGACACGGCCCAGACUCCUACGGGAGGCAGCAGUGGGGAAUUUUGGACAAUGGGCGUAAGCCUGAUCCAGCCAUGCCGCGUGUGUGAAGAAGGCCUUCGGGUUGUAAAGCACUUUCGGCCGGAACGAAAUCGCGCGGGUGAACAAUCCGCGUGGAUGACGGUACCGGAAGAAGAAGCACCGGCUAACUACGUGCCAGCGGCCGCGGUAAUACGUAGGGUGCGAGCGUUAAUCGGAAUUACUGGGCGUAAAGCGUGCGCAGGCGGCGCCGCAAGUCAGGCGUGAAAUCCCCGGGCUUAACUUGGGAAUGGCGCUUGAAACUACGGUGCUUGAGUGUGGCAGAGGGAGGUGGAAUUCCACGUGUAGCGGUGAAAUGCGUAGAGAUGUGGAGGAACACCGAUGGCGAAGGCAGCCUCCUGGGCCAACACUGACGCUCAUGCACGAAAGCGUGGGGGAGCAAACAGGAUUAGAUACCCUGGUAGUCCACGCCCUAAACGAUGAUGACUAGUUGUUGGGGGAGUUAAAUCCCUUAGUAACGCAGCUAACGCGUGAAGUCAUCCGCCU
rnacentral:rRNA from 1 species